CCCACAAAGAUAGUGCCACACACUGUGUGUGUGUGUGUGUGUGUGUGUGUCUGUGUCUGUUCAUACUUCCAGGUGACCUCCAGCUGCAGUUUGAUGGUUCCCAGCUCCGUGAUGUCCACCAACAUCAGCUGCGGCCUCACCACAAAGAAAUCUGCGCUGGCACACGUCACCAUGCCAACCAGCAGCCAACCCAAACCCUUGGCCUCCGUCACCUGAAAGAAGAGAUUUGAAGGUUGUGGUGUAUGUGCGGGAGGAAGACCAUCUCCUCCUGGUCCCAGUACUGCGUGUCGUCUGAUUGGAUCCUCCCUCUGAUCCUCCAUCGCUGGCGGCCCAGACGCACCACCACCUGUGACAUCAUCCAGACAUGACGUCACUAACAGUGCCGGCUCUGGUUCUAGCCCUGUUUUCCCUUUAGCUGUGUCUGUGGUUGCGACUGAGCUCCAGCAGGCUCUCUCUGGAGGCUCUGGUGGACGGCGACAGUGAGAAGGCUCUCUUCAUGUUGACCACUCCCUGACACAACCUCCACUGGAUACAAUGCCUUGCCUUUGCUUUCCAGCCACCUGAACCUGAACACUUAUCUGCACAUUGCUACCCGCCUGCCUGCACCUUUUCCCUGCCCCAUUCCUGUUUGGACAACUAUGCCAUCUGGAGUUUCUCUUGGUCUCUCUCUGCUGGGAAGACAGGAAGUCCAUAUCUGCCUGGUGACCCUCCAGCGUUCCACUCACCGCCGUCGUCCAGUCAGAGAGCUGAAGCCGGUGAAGGAGCGGCUCCUGUUGACCAAACCUGAGGGCGAGUCGAAUCGCAGCUUCACCGACAUCCUGAAGAAAGCGAGAAUAAUUACAGCAUAUAGCACCAUCUAGUGGGCUCAGAAAAUGAAAACAACUGUUCACGAGGCUCCAUAAGGUCCCCACUAACAGUGGUCAGCCUUUCUAUGGACUUCUUCCAGCGGCCACUGGCGGUAUUGCAACAAAAAAAUCCCUCUGCGACCUAGAAAGGAUUUUCCCCUGACAGGACACCUCCAACUACAAACAAGGUGAGGAUGCUGUGUCCAGUGGAUCGAUGCUUCCCCCUCAUCUCAACAAUGCUGAGUAUCGGCUUCGAGAAAUGCACAACGUGGAGGAAUCGGCUCCGUUGCAUUCAGCUGAGAGCAGCAGAAUAACAUAGUUCAGAUUGGCUGAACAGCACAUCAACCAGCUGUAACAAACUACGUUUCAGAAAGUUGUCAUGUGGAGCAGCAGGAGUAGAUUUUUCUCUCACUUCAUCAUUUCUCCAGAGAGUUUGUGGAGGUGAAGGCUACAAAGCGUGGGGCAAGGCUUUCCACAAUAUUCAGGAACCUGGUUGCAGAGAUUUGCAAGAGCUGCAGGCCACUGGAGGCUUUUCUCAGAGGAAAAAGAUGUUUUUGCUCUU